rnacentral:misc_RNA from 1 species
AAGGGCCAGCGCGUCGGGACG